AAUCAAAAGCUGGUGAACCUUUAGCACCUGCCAUAAGCACAGUUCAGCUGAUGAUAACCACCAGUCACUGCUCUCAGCAAGAGACCUGAUUCCACCCAUCACGCUUGGACUGAGAUAGCAAUAAAACGUGUCCACAGUCUUCUAAAUAAAGGAAGAAAGAGACGAGGGCAUAGAAUGAUUAUGCUGGUGAAAGAAAGGAAGACUAGUGGAGUCUGAAAGAGAUGUGUGAAGGCUAGAAUCCAAAAAUGCAAAUGCCAACCAGAAGACUGCUGUUUUCUUCUUAACCCUUGUUAUCAGUGGGCUGUGGAUGCUUGGGGAGUAAAGCCUGGUGACAGCACUUUACAGAUGGGAAUGUGUUCAGGACAGAACAAGUUGAAGAAAGCAAAAGGGGAACUAUAA
rnacentral:lncRNA from 1 species